UACGUAGGGGGCAAGCGUUUGUCCGGGAUUUAUUGGGCGUAAAGCGCUCGCAGGCGGCCUGAUGCGUCGUGCGUGAAACACCCCGGGCUCAACUGGGGGGGGUCGUGCGAUACGGUCAGGCUCGAGGCCAGUAGGGGGACGCGGAAUUCCGGGUGUAGUGGUGGAAUGCGUAGAGAUCCGGAGGAACACCAGCGGCGAAGGCGGCGUCCUGGACUGGUACUGACGCUCAGGAGCGAAAGCGUGGGGAGCGAGUCCGG
rnacentral:rRNA from 1 species